GGGAUUGUGGCUCAGUGGUGGAGCACUCUCCUCGCACGUGCGAGGACCUGGGUUCAAUCCUCAGCAGCACA
rnacentral:tRNA from 1 species